rnacentral:rRNA from 1 species
UUCGGGGGCAAAGUGACAGGUGGUGCAUGGUUGUCGUCAGCUCGUGUCGUGAGAUGUUGGGUUAAGUCCCGCAACGAGCGCAACCCUUAUUGUUAGUUGCCAUCAUUUAGUUGGGCACUCUAGCAAGACUGCCGGUGACAAACCGGAGGAAGGUGGGGAUGACGUCAAAUCAUCAUGCCCCUUAUGACCUGGGCUACACACGUGCUACAAUGGGAAGUACAACGAGUCGCAAAGUCGCGAGGCUAAGCUAAUCUCUUAAAGCUUCUCUCAGUUCGGAUUGUAGGCUGCAACUCGCCUACAUGAAGCCGGAAUCGCUAGUAAUCGCGGAUCAGCACGCCGCGGUGAAUACGUUCCCGGGUCUGGACACCACCGA